rnacentral:sRNA from 1 species
ACCAAAAAUAUUAUGUUUAAAGUUUUAUAAGAUCUGAUGGUUAGUUUGCUUGAAUCGCUUUAUUACUUAAGGGUUUUUUUCUGUUCAAAUCAAAAACAAUCCAAAAUCAACAUCCUGUUGAUUUUUAAUCACUUGCCUGUGUUUAGAUGAAAAAUGACAAUAACAAACUGUUCACCAUCUCAAAAAAUCCAUUAAACAUAAUAUAAAUUCAAAGCAGAGCAACACGUUCCUUUAAAAUGAUAGAUGUGGAAUCAAGUGCCUAGGAGGCGUGAGCAUCCUCUGCUGACCGGUCACACCCGCCGUGUGCUCUUUAUCGUAUAUUUGGGGAAAAUGUAAAAGUCCGUUGACAAGGUGAUUAAUUAUGGUCUAACAAUGAAAUGACGUUUGAUUUGACCAUGUUUAACCAAUUAAUUAAGUCCUUUCAAAUAUUAAGGGAUUUACCAUGAAAAAUGCAAAGUGUGAAAAGCUUUCAAACGUAAGACAAUAUUGAAAAGUAACAAUAUCACAAUGAUCUAAGUCAAACAUACCAGUUUCUUGUGUAAAUGUAUGAACAAGAAAAAAAUUAAUGAUUAUUUGUAUCAUAAUUAUGUAGAUAACAUAAAUCUUUUAAAUUUCAAUAAAACUAUAUCCCCGACAUGUUUCAUAUGGACGACUUGAGUCAUCUUAUUUAAAAAUUUCCAAUUGGUUGGAUUAUCAGAGCUUUAACCCUUAGAUCAAAUAGAAAUAGAUUUCCAAAUAUAUCUGAGAACUUCAGUGCAUCUUCGUGACAGUUUUUCUUUUUGAAACUUUCUACUAAAAAUAAAAGAACAUUUUUAAAUGU